rnacentral:rRNA from 1 species
GGUAGUAGUGGGUGUAACGUACCUACUAGCCUACGACGGGUACGGGUUGUGAGAGCAAGAGCCCGGAGAUGGAUUCUGAGUCACGAAUCCAGGCCCUACGGGGUGCAGCAGGCGCGAAAACUUUACAAUGCUGGAAACAGCGAUAAGGGGACCUCGAGUGCCAGGAUACAAUCCUGGCUGUCGUAAUGCCUAAAAAGCAUUGCAUACAAGGGCCGGGCAAGACCGGUGCCAGCCGCCGCGGUAACACCGGCGGCUCGAGUGGUAACCGCUAUUAUUGGGUCUGAAGGGUCUGUAGCCGGCUGACUAAGUCUCUUGGGAAAUCUGACAGCUUAACUGCAGGCUUUCAGGAGAUACUGAUCGGCUCGAGACCGGGAGAGGUGAGAGGUACCUCAGGGGUAGGGGUGAAAUCUUGUAAUCCUUGAGGGACCACCAGUGGCGAAGGCGUCUCACCAGAACGGAUCUGACGGCAAGGGACGAAAGCUAGGGGC